GAGCAAGAACUCCAAUUGAUGGCUGCUUCUUGCAUUGAAGGUUGGCGAUAAAGAACUCUGGCGAUUCUCCGUGCCUAUCAAAUUUAUCGGUUUUGAAUAUGGCCUCGAACAAGUUGCUACAUU